rnacentral:rRNA from 1 species
AUUGAACGCUGGCGGCAGGCUUAAUACAUGCAAGUCGAGCGGUAACAGAGAGAAGCUUGCUUCUCUGCUGACGAGCGGAGGACAGGUGAGUAAUGCCUAGGAAUCUGCCUAGUAGUGGGGGAUAACUUGCCGAAAGGUAAGCUAAUACCGCAUACGUCCUACGGGAGAAAGGAGGGGACCUUCGGGCCUUUCGCUAUUAGAUGAGCCUAGGUCGGAUUAGUUAGUUGGUGAGGUAAUGGCUCACCAAGACCGCGAUCCGUAACUGGUCUGAGAGGAUGAUCAGUCACACUGGAACUGAGACACGGGCCAGACUCCUACGGGAGGCAGCAGUGGGGAAUAUUGGACAAUGGGGGGAACCCUGAUCCAGCCAUGCCGCGUGUGUGAAGAAGGUCUUAGGAUUGUAAAGCACUUUAAGUUGGGAGGAAGAGCAGUUAACUAAUAUUUGACUGUUUUGACGUUACCGACAGAAUAAGCACCGGCUAACUUCGUGCCAGCCGCCGCAGUAA